AGCAGCUCUUCUCCUGCCGCUCAGCCCAUGGGCUGCCGGCCAAGCUGCUCAGCUCUCAUCACGGCCGCAGGGAAGGAGAACAGGGUGGAGAGAGUGCGAUCUGCCUUGUCUCCUGCCCGUCUCCCGAGCCUCCGAGUGCAUUGUACAGACAAAAGCGAAGCCAGGAGAGCUCAGCAGUUCUUCUCAUUUCCACAAAGCAAACACCCCAAAGACCCAGGAGCUCCUAAGGCAUAAUGUGGCAGAUACCUAAUGGCACGCAGCAGCGCCAGGCAACAGCUUAAGAAAUGCAGUAAUGAUUGCCCUGUUGCAUUAUGACCACUUUUCACUAUUUAUUCAGCCCCAUUAGCAUUUGUCAGAGCAAAUGGAAACCGGUCACCGUCCCAAGGAAUUCAGCCUCUUUCAGUUGUCAGGCCAUAAAAAUUCAAGGUGUGGGAUGUGGGGACAAGAGCUGAAAUUGCAGUUGAGGGGGUGAGGAGAUCUGUUGUAACGUGAAUGUCAUUACACACAUUAAAUCUGACUAGGACAUCGCGCUGAACACCACUGUGCUUCAGACACUGACAAGAGCACCUCUGGUGACCAGGUCUCAUUUGGGUCAUCGUUUCUCCAGCUUUGCGCCAUUACAGCCUUUGUUUAGUUAGCAGCACCGCCACUCCCCACAGCGAACAGGACCUCUAGCUGGCUACAGAGCAGAAGAAAGAAGCCUGUAGCCCCUGUGGGACAACCGCAGCAACAAGCAAUUCAGCAUCUGCCUCCCACCCAAACGCUGAGUCUGGCCAACCCUUGGGAGCUAUUAAAAAAAUCUGCUGAAAUUAUGCCUUAUGGGAGACAAAGGGCUGAACCUGGCAAAGGCUUUCCAGACUGGUUCCAGGUCACAGUCAGACGAACACUUGCAAUGUGAACGUCCUGCACCUGCCCCCGAACAGAAUGAAGUGGUCAGGGCCGGGGUCGGGCACCUUGCUCCCCUCUGCACCAAAGCUGCCCCAUGCACUCUGUCCCCUGGCUCUGCUCUGAGAGCGGGUAACUUCUUCCACGAUCAGCUGCCAUGGGCCGUGCUCUCAGGCUCUUUGCUUUUGAUUCCUCCACCUCCAGGUCUCCUCCCUACCUUUAGGACCAGCAAGAGAACACAGCCCUCCCCGCAGAAGAGAAGCUCCACCCAGAUACCCCCCGCCGCACUCCCAGACACAUGGUACCAAGUCUGGUGUGACUGUAUGCCCCUGGGUAAAAGAUCAUUUUAAAUGUUCAAGUAGUCAAGUAAAAAGCUUCCCCACUAGGCUCACCCAGCAGUAAACUUAUUAGCAAUGGGACUUCUUAGAUAACAUAGGUGGAAGAGGGCAACUUGCUGGUAUAUGGGGAGAGGCAACUUUCCACUGCUCGAUCAGCUGGCAAACCUCAGCGGGGACCGUGCCUCCAGCGUUCAACAAGCCCGGCUCAGCAUGGACUGCUAAGAAGACAGCCCUGCUCCUGCAGACCUGAGGACACCUGCCAGAGCAACGUCAAGAAGGAAUUAAUUAUGGUGACAGCAAUUCUCACCACCAUAUGGUGGUCAGAAUUGCUCAGGAAGGGAGAACACUUCUGUUUUCUCACCUUUCUUUCACACCAGGAGAAGCUUCAUUUCUGGAUAGUUCAUGACAGGGUGACAAUAAGUGCAGAGCCUGUCCUUGCGCACAGCCCUUCCUCUUCAUCCCUUAACAUGAGGCUGCUGCUUUCUGGCCCCCUGGGUGUUAAUAUUUCUCAACACCCGGCUCAAGAGGAGAGACGGGUCACAGGACAACAGCUCAGGAAUGGACCUUCCCUGCUUGCCCUCUCUAUGCUGCUUCUGAUUUUAUAGACCUCUAUCAAAAACUGUUCGGCAAAUUCUCAGCUGAAGAAUUCAGCCCUUCCCAGACAGGCUGCUCUGAUUUAUGCCAGCUGGGGUCCUGGCCCUCCAUCCUCACUGAAAAUGCAGGAUGACCUCUAAAGGCUGGGUGGCAACAGGAGUCCAGGACACGGAGGUUCAUUUCCCACCAAGGACACGACUCUCCAGUCUUCUGCAAUCCAAAGGAAAGAGAGAAGGAGCUACGGCAAAAACACAAGAAAAGCAAGGGGGAAGCAGUGCUGUAUCUCCUCCCGCAGAGUCCCAAGCUGGUAGGACGUGCUGCCACAAGCCCCUCACCAGGGAGACCCUCACCAGGCCACCACAGGGGGCACUUGUGAGAAUCGGUGUCCCCACGAGCCUCCCCUGAAGCACUGCUCCUAACACAAACCUAGAUAUAGAUGAUGUCAUUUGGCCCCGAGGCAUCACAGUAGGAAUACGAGCUGCUGCCUUAGCGAUGCUGCAGCUUGUCUGUGUUCUCCAGGGUGAAGCCACGAGGCCAGAUUCUGCCCUCGUCAUGCCCCAACACCGCGGCAGAGAAAAUCAAGCUCCUGAGGCUACCAGCUUGUGUGAGAUAAACCGACGGUCACUUCCCCUGCUACUGGCUGCUCUGCCAUGCGGAUGCCUAUGCUGCUGGAGAACAGGUUACCCUGGGUACCCGGCCGGAGUUAAUUUGCAGUGCCGGCAACAGACGGAGGGUCCCUAACCCGUAGGUGAAACCUGACAUGUUUUUUGAUUAAAGCAGUCUCUGAGCAUGGCAGGUUUUUGUGCUAAUGAUGACAGGCACACACUUGAACAACCGCCACCCCCUCUUCUUGCAACAGCCCUUAUUUAGCAAAUAAAAAGGAAACCCGAAGAGCUCAAAGCCUGCUGAUUGUUAGCGCCUGUGCUCCUCGUCCACCUCCACAAACCACCACGGUGUCUGACCUCCACGGUGACGGGCUGUCCUGUGCCUAGACGCGUGUGGUCAGGCAGCGCUUUUUUGUGCCGGAAGAAAGUCUCCGAAGAGGAAACAGCCCUUCUGUUGCAUUUGCGAGCACAGUUUAGCCAGCGAACUACACAAAGCUGGGUGUGAGAAACAGCGAUGGCACCCCGUGGCCUGGCUAGCAGCAGGGAAUACAGCCAGAGCAUCCAAAGUGCAUCUGGGGUUUUAUCCCUCCAAGCUGGUGAACCCAGGGGUGUACUGAAGCCAGUCAAGCUGCUUACAUCGGGGAGCAGAAACAAAAAUCCUACUUGCAAGCACGGCCAGGGAGGUAGAUGAGACAUGGACUGCCCCCACCUGCCUGUAUUCGCCACAAGGGAUCUGUGUUCCCAGGUCCUCUGUGCAGGGCUGAGAUCCCUGCUCACAAACUACAGGCUGCUCACAGCAACGUUUCCUGACGCUGCCCAGUGUUUCCAAAGGCAGUCUCCGGUUCAGGGCAAUUCAUCUGCAAGUGAUGCAUUCAUUUUUUGAGAGCUCCCAAGCAGCUCUCAGUCCUGUCUCAGGAACUAAAAAAACUCAGAUCUUUAGCGCACCCUAAAGCGGCCCUACAAAGACAGA